CAUGCUCAUCAAUUGAGAUUUUAAAAUCUCUCAGUAUUGAACAUUUGAACUCUCCAUUUCAAUGGAUCCUGCUAAUGAGGUAGCCGAUCGUGAUGUUCCCAUUUCAGAGUCUGCAGAGCAUUCGACUUCUACAUUACCUCCUCUCCCAACCACAUCAUCUGAGC